AAACAUAGGAGUCGAGCCAGGCUACUCGAUCCCAUCUCCAUCGUAUGCUGUGCUCCUCCUGACCUGAGACCUGCUCGGGGCAUCGUCCUGCGGCAAUAGGAAUCUCACCUUGCGACGUCGCCUCUCGUCCUUCCGAGUCUCCUGUCUCGUGCCCGAUCCGCCUCCUGGAGCUCCACCUCGCUCUGGGCUCCACCUGGCUCUCGAAGCUCCACCUCGCACUGGGCUC
rnacentral:lncRNA from 1 species